rnacentral:tRNA from 1 species
GCCCCUGUCGUCUAGUGGUUAGGACGCAUGGUUCUCAUCCAUGCAACCGGAGUUCGAUUCUCCGCAGGGGCG